GGUCGGUCAGCUCAGCUGGUUAGAGCUUACUGCUGAUAACGCUAAGGUCGUGGGUUCAAACCCCACACUGAGCA